rnacentral:rRNA from 1 species
GAUGAACGCUAGCUACAGGCUUAACACAUGCAAGUCGAGGGGUAACGAGAGGAAAGCUUGCUUUCCUUGUCGACGACCGGCGCACGGGUGAGUAACGCGUAUCCAACCUGCCCCCAACUAGGGAAUAACCUUGCGAAAGUAAGACUAAUACCCUAUAAUUUCCUCAGAUGACAUCUGACGAGGAAUAAAGAUUUAUCGGUUGUGGAUGGGGAUGCGUCUGAUGAGCUUGUUGGCGGGGUAACGGCCCACAAAGGCAACGAUCAGUAUGGGUUCUGAGAGGAAGGUCCACCACAUGGGAACUGAGACACGGUCCAAACUCCUACGGGAGGCAGCAGUGAGGAAUAUUGGGCAAUGGGCGGAAGCCUGAACCAGCCAAGUAGCGUGCAGGAGGACGGCCCUAUGGGUUGUAAACUGCUUUUAUACAGGAAUAAAGUUAGCCACGUGUGGUUAUUUGUAGGUACUGUAUGAAUAAGGACCGGCUAAUUCCGUGCCAGCCGCCGCCGUAA